CGGCACGGGUGAGUAACACGUAUCCAACCUGCCGUCUACUCUUGGACAGCCUUCUGAAAGGAAGAUUAAUAUAAGAUGGCAUCAUGAGUCCACAUGUUCACAUGAUUAAAGGUAUUCCGGUAGACGAUGGGGAUGCGUUCCAUUAGAUAGUAGGCGGGGUAACGGCCCACCUAGUCUUCGAUGGAUAGGGGUUCUGAGAGGAAGGUCCCCCACAUUGGAACUGAGACACGGUCCAA
rnacentral:rRNA from 1 species